ACAUGUUUAUCAAGUAGCAACUGGAAGAUGAGAAAGCACUAUCCAAUAGGAAAUAUCAAAAGAAAGAGGGUAAUAGAUGUAAGAAAAGUGUCCUCAUGCUUUCUGUCUGUCUUUGGCAGCCCAGAUUGAAUGGGGGAAUACAGGG